CCUACGGGAGGCUGCAGUGGGGAAUAUUGGACAAUGGGGGGAACCCUGAUCCAGCCAUGCCGCGUGUGUGAAGAAGGCCCUCGGGUUGUAAAGCACUUUCAGUGAGGAAGAACGCCUGGUGGUUAAUACCCAUCAGGAAAGACAUCACUCACAGAAGAAGCACCGGCUAACUCCGUGCCAGCAGCCGCGGUAAUACGGAGGGUGCGAGCGUUAAUCGGAAUUACUGGGCGUAAAGCGCGCGUAGGUGGCUUGAUAAGCCGGUUGUGAAAGCCCCGGGCUCAACCUGGGAACGGCAUCCGGAACUGUCAAGCUAGAGUGCAGGAGAGGAAGGUAGAAUUCCCGGUGUAGCGGUGAAAUGCGUAGAGAUCGGGAGGAAUACCAGUGGCGAAGGCGGCCUUCUGGACUGACACUGACACUGAGGUGCGAAAGCGUGGGUAGCAAACAGGAUUAGAUAGCCGUGUAGUC
rnacentral:rRNA from 1 species